CGUAGGAUGCAAGCGUUGUCCGGAUUUAUUGGGCGUAAAGAGUUCGUAGGCUGUUUGUUAAGUCUGGUGUUAAAGACUGAGGCCCAACCUCGGAAAUGCAUCGGAUACUGGCAGACUUGAGUACGGUAGAGGCGAGUGGAAUUCCCAGUGUAGCGGUGAAAUGCGUAGAUAUUGGGAAGAACACCGGUGGCGUAGGCGACUCGCUGGGCCGCAACUGACGCUGAGGAACGAAAGCCAGGGGAGCGAAUGGGAUUAGAUACCCCAGUAGUCCUGGCUGUAAACGAUGGAUACUAGGCGUUAUGGGUAUCGACCCCCGUAGUGCCGCAGCUAACGCGAUAAGUAUCCCGCCUGAGUAGUACGGCCGCAAGGUUG
rnacentral:rRNA from 1 species